rfam:Moniliophthora roreri MCA 2997 sctg_0372_0002, whole genome shotgun sequence.
GCCCUCUUAGCUCAGUGGUAGAGCGUUCCACUCGUAUGUAGGAAGGGAGUACUCUAUCAGCGAUGGAAAGGUCGGUUGUUCAAUCCAGCCAGGGGGCA